rnacentral:rRNA from 1 species
GGUUAAGUUAGAAAGGGCGCACGGUGGAUGCCUUGGCACUAGGAGCCGAUGAAGGACGGGACGAACACCGAUAUGCUUCGGGGAGCUGUAAGCAAGCUUUGAUCCGGAGAUUUCCGAAUGGGGAAACCCACCACUCGUAAUGGAGUGGUAUCCAUAUCUGAAUACAUAGGAUAUGAGAAGGCAGACCCGGGAACUGAAACAUCUAAGUACCCGGAGGAAGAGAAAGCAAAUGCGAUUCCCUGAGUAGCGGCGAGCGAAACGGGACCAGCCCAAACCAAGAGGCUUGCCUCUUGGGGUUGUAGGACACUCUGUACGGAGUUACAAAGGAACGAGGUAGAUGAAGAGGCCUGGAAAGGCCCGCCAUAGGAGGUAACAGCCCUGUAGUCAAAACUUCGUUCUCUCCUGAGUGGAUCCUGAGUACGGCGGAACACGUGAAAUUCCGUCGGAAUCCGGGAGGACCAUCUCCCAAGGCUAAAUACUCCCUAGUGACCGAUAGUGAACCAGUACCGUGAGGGAAAGGUGAAAAGCACCCCGGAAGGGGAGUGAAAGAGAUCCUGAAACCGUGUGCCUACAAGUAGUCAGAGCCCGUUAACGGGUGAUGGCGUGCCUUUUGUAGAAUGAACCGGCGAGUUACGAUCCCGUGCAAGGUUAAGCAGAAGAUGCGGAGCCGCAGCGAAAGCGAGUCUGAAUAGGGCGAAUUGAGUACGUGGUCGUAGACCCGAAACCAGGUGAUCUACCCAUGUCCAGGGUGAAGUUCAGGUAACACUGAAUGGAGGCCCGAACCCACGCACGUUGAAAAGUGCGGGGAUGAGGUGUGGGUAGGGGUGAAAUGCCAAUCGAACCUGGAGAUAGCUGGUUCUCUCCGAAAUAGCUUUAGGGCUAGCCUCAAGGUAAGAGUCUCGGAGGUAGAGCACUGAUUGGACUAGGGGCCCCUACCGGGUUACCGAAUUCAGUCAAACUCCGAAUGCCGAUGACUUAUCCUUGGGAGUCAGACUGCGAGUGAUAAGAUCCGUAGUCGAAAGGGAAACAGCCCAGACCGCCAGCUAAGGUCCCAAAGUAUACGUUAAGUGGAAAAGGAUGUGGAGUUGCUUAGACAACCAGGAUGUUGGCUUAGAAGCAGCCACCAUUUAAAGAGUGCGUAAUAGCUCACUGGUCGAGUGACUCUGCGCCGAAAAUGUACCGGGGCUAAACGUAUCACCGAAGCUGCGGACUGUUCUUCGAACAGUGGUAGGAGAGCGUUCUAAGGGCUGUGAAGCAAGACCGGAAGGACUUGUGGAGCGCUUAGAAGUGAGAAUGCCGGUAUGAGUAGCGAAAGAGGGGUGAGAAUCCCCUCCACCGAAUGCCUAAGGUUUCCUGAGGAAGGCUCGUCCGCUCAGGGUUAGUCGGGACCUAAGCCGAGGCCGAAAGGCGUAGGCGAUGGAUAACAGGUUGAUAUUCCUGUACCACCUCCUCACCAUUUGAGCAAUGGGGGGACGCAGGAGGAUAGGGUAAGCGCGGUAUUGGAUAUCCGCGUCCAAGCAGUUAGGCUGGGAAAUAGGCAAAUCCGUUUCCCGUGAAGGCUGAGCUGUGAUGGCGAGCGAAUUAUAGUAGCGAAGUUCCUGAUUCCACACUGCCAAGAAAAGCCUCUAGCGAGGUGAGAGGUGCCCGUACCGCAAACCGACACAGGUAGGCGAGGAGAGAAUCCUAAGGUGAUCGAGAGAACUCUCGUUAAGGAACUCGGCAAAAUGACCCCGUAACUUCGGGAGAAGGGGUGCUCUGUUAGGGUGCAAGCCCGAGAGAGCCGCAGUGAAUAGGCCCAGGCGACUGUUUAGCAAAAACACAGGUCUCUGCGAAGCCGUAAGGCGAAGUAUAGGGGCUGACGCCUGCCCGGUGCUGGAAGGUUAAGAGGAGCGCUUAGCGUAAGCGAAGGUGCGAAUUGAAGCCCCAGUAAACGGCGGCCGUAACUAUAACGGUCCUAAGGUAGCGAAAUUCCUUGUCGGGUAAGUUCCGACCCGCACGAAAGGCGCAACGAUCUGGGCACUGUCUCAACGAGAGACUCGGUGAAAUUAUAGUACCUGUGAAGAUGCAGGUUACCCGCGACAGGACGGAAAGACCCCGUGGAGCUUUACUGCAGCCUGAUAUUGAAUGUUGGUACAGCUUGUACAGGAUAGGUAGGAGCCUUGGAAACCGGAGCGCCAGCUUCGGUGGAGGCAUCGGUGGGAUACUACCCUGGCUGUAUUGACCUUCUAACCCGCCGCCCUUAUCGGGCGGGGAGACAGUGUCAGGUGGGCAGUUUGACUGGGGCGGUCGCCUCCUAAAAGGUAACGGAGGCGCCCAAAGGUUCCCUCAGAAUGGUUGGAAAUCAUUCGCAGAGUGUAAAGGCACAAGGGAGCUUGACUGCGAGACCUACAAGUCGAGCAGGGACGAAAGUCGGGCUUAGUGAUCCGGUGGUUCCGCAUGGAAGGGCCAUCGCUCAACGGAUAAAAGCUACCCCGGGGAUAACAGGCUUAUCUCCCCCAAGAGUCCACAUCGACGGGGAGGUUUGGCACCUCGAUGUCGGCUCAUCGCAUCCUGGGGCUGUAGUCGGUCCCAAGGGUUGGGCUGUUCGCCCAUUAAAGCGGUACGCGAGCUGGGUUCAGAACGUCGUGAGACAGUUCGGUCCCUAUCCGUCGCGGGCGCAGGAAAUUUGAGAGGAGCUGUCCUUAGUACGAGAGGACCGGGAUGGACGCACCGCUGGUGUACCAGUUGUUCUGCCAAGGGCAUCGCUGGGUAGCUAUGUGCGGACGGGAUAAGUGCUGAAAGCAUCUAAGCAUGAAGCCCCCCUCAAGAUGAGAUUUCCCAUUCCGCAAGGAAGUAAGAUCCCUGAAAGAUGAUCAGGUUGAUAGGUCUGAGGUGGAAGUGUGGCGACACAUGGAGCUGACAGAUACUAAUCGAUCGAGGACUUAACCAA